UAGGGAAUCUUCGGCAAUGGACGAAAGUCUGACCGAGCAACGCCGCGUGAGUGAAGAAGGUUUUCGGAUCGUAAAACUCUGUUGUUAGAGAAGAACAAGGACGUUAGUAACUGAACGUCCCCUGACGGUAUCUAACCAGAAAGCCACGGCUAACUACGUGCCAGCAGCCGCGGUAAUACGUAGGUGGCAAGCGUUGUCCGGAUUUAUUGGGCGUAAAGCGAGCGCAGGCGGUUUCUUAAGUCUGAUGUGAAAGACCCCGGCUCAACCGGGGAGUGUCAUUGGAAACUGGGAGACUUGAGUGCAGAAGAGGAGAGUGGAAUUCCAUGUGUAGCGGUGAAAUGCGUAGAUAUAUGGAGGAACACCAGUGGCGAAGGCGGCUCUCUGGUCUGUAACUGACGCUGAGGCUCGAAAGCGUGGGGAGCAAACAGG
rnacentral:rRNA from 1 species